rnacentral:lncRNA from 1 species
GUCGCAGCUCCUCCUGCGUCGCCCUGAGUUAAGAAAAAGGGGAGACCGAGGCUGGGGCAACCGAUGGGAUCAGGAAGUGGGGGCGGGGGGGCAGUCAAACGAAGGCUGGGCAUUUCAUAAUGAGAAACUGGAUACGAAGAUGGAGAAACCAAAGACCAAGACAGGCUAAAGUAGAGGACUGGAGCGGGGCGGUCACCUUGUCUGGGAGGACGCCCUUGGAUUGGUUGAGUGUGACGACAUUUGAUCUAGUAGCUAACACGCCUGUCAACCUCGGCCGCAUUCCAUCUCCAGAAACUACGUUUCCCAGCAUUA